rnacentral:tRNA from 1 species
AUAUCCUUAGUAUAUUAAAUAUAUCUCCCUUCCAAGGAGAAGAUUGGCCCCCAAGGAUUUA